AGGCUGUGCCGAGGAGCUGGCCAGUGGAGCCCGGCUCGGGGAAAGUGAAAGUUUUCCUGGGUGCUCUCUGCGCCGCCGCGGGUCCCUCCGCACUCCUGGGACAGCAGCGCGGCCCUCGGCUGGGGCGUGGACUCUGCAGCGGCCAGCGAGCGAGAGAACGAGAGAGCGAGGGCGGCCGAGGCGCCCGGCCGGGACCCAGCUGCCCGUAUGACCGCGCGGGGCGCCGCCAGGCGCUGCCCUCCCACGACAUGGCUGGGCCCCCUGCUGCUGCUGCUGGCCUGUCUCCUCGUGAGCAGGAGUACUACCGAGGAGGUGUCGGAGAACUGUAGCCACAUGAUUGGGAACGGACACCUGCAGUUCCUGCAGCAGCUGAUUGACAGUCAGAUGGAGACCUCGUGCCAAAUUGCCUUCGAGUUUGUAGACCAGGAGCAGUUGAACGACCCCGUGUGCUACCUUAAGAAGGCAUUUCUCCUGGUGCAAGACAUAAUGGAGGACACCAUGCGCUUCAAAGACAACACCCCCAAUGCCAAUGUCAUUGUCCAGCUCCAGGAACUCUCUCUGAGGCUGAGGAGCUGCUUCACCAGGGACUAUGAAGAACAGGACAAGGCCUGUGUCCGAACUUUCUAUGAGACGCCUCUCCAGUUGCUGGAGAAGAUCAAGAAUGUCUUUAAUGAAACAAAGAAUCUCCUUAAAAAGGACUGGAACAUUUUCAGCAAGAACUGCAACAAUAGCUUUGCUAAAUGCUCCAGCCAAGAUGUGGUGACCAAGCCUGAUUGCAACUGCCUGUACCCCAAAGCCACCCCUAGCAGUGACCUGGCCUCUGUCUCCCCUCAGCAGCCCCUCGCCCCCUCCAUGGCCCCUAUGGCUGGCUUGACCUGGGCUGACUCCGAGGGGACAGAGGGCAGCUCCCUCUUGCCCAGAGAGCAGGCCCUUCGCACAGUGGACCCAGGCAGUGCCAAGCAGCGACCACCCAGGAGCACCUGCCAGAGCUUUGAGUCACCAGAGACCCUGGGCGUCGAGGGCCACCCCGCUGGAGAGUCACCUCAGCCCCAGCACUCUGUCGGAGCUCCUGUCACUGGGAUGGAGGACAUUCUUGACUCUGUGCUGGGCACUAACUUGGCCCUGGAAGAGGCCUCCGGAGAGGCUAGUGAGGGUCUUAUACCCCAAGGGGCAGCGCUUGCCUCCCGCACGUGGCGGGGCGGCAGCGUCCAGGCAGAGACUGCCUGGCCCAGCCGUCUCCUCUCAGCAUCCUCACCAGUCUCUGCGUCAGGAAAGGGCCGGCAGCCUGCGGGUGUAACUGGCACACCACUGCCCAUGGUGGGCCCCGUGAGACCCACCGAGGCCUGGAGUCACACACCUGAGGACGCAGACCAUUCAUCUGCCUCGCCCAGAGACCACCAGGAGCCAGGCUCUGCCGGGGCCCCAGCACCGCGCCCGCACGGCCUCAGCAGUCCCUCUGCCCCCUCUUCUCAGCCAAGGCUUCCCAGAAACCAUUCCUGGGGCAACGUGCUGCCCCUUGGGGAGCUGGAAGGCAAGAGGAGCACCAGGGACCGGAGGAGCACCGCAGAGCUGGAAGGAGGACAAGCAAGUGAGGGGGCGGCCAGGCCCCCAGCCCGUUUUAACUCCGUUCCUUUGACUGACGCAGGCCGUGAGAGGCAACACAAGGAGCCCUCCGACCCCCAGCUCCCCGGCUUUGUCUUCCGCCUGCUGGUGCCCAGCGUCAUCCUGGUCCUGCUGGCUGUCGGCGGCCUCCUGUUCUACAGGCGGAGGCGGCGGAGCCAUCGAGAGCCUCAGACAGUGGAUUCUCUCAUGGAGCAACCAGAGGGCAGCCCCCUGACCCAGGAUGAGGACAGACAGGUGGAACUGCCAGUGUAGAGGGAAUUCUAAGAUACCUCUGCCCUGCUGUCCUGAAUAUCAUGUGUGAUGACCCUCUGUGACGAGUGGUGAGGAGCUGGGCGCGCAGGACAGUCUCUCCAUGUGAGGAGACGUUAUGGGGACAUUCACCACCACCCCUCCCCAGCCAUUCUCCUGGGAAUGUGGCCUGCCCACCAUGAGAGCUCCUGGACUCAGGAGAGCAGGACUAGACCAGAGCAGCGAGGCUGGGGCCCUCAGCCCUCGACCCUUAGACUCUGGACUGACUAAGAGAGGGCUGGAGGAUGCCCCCCACGCUGCUGAUAUUUAUCGGGGGCCCUGGAGGCUCCCAUCCGCUUGAGGAAGGCUGGAAAGCCCGGCUGAGGACCCUCUGCCCCUCAGGGGCUGUGUCCUCCUCCCAUUCCCCUCCAAGCCAACACCUGGGCCAGGGACCCAGAGGCCCGUGGGACAUGGGAGAGCAGGGUGGGCGCUGAGCAAUGGAAGAGCCCUUGUGCCAGAGGACCCGCCUGGUGCCAAGGGAUCCCAACACCGACAAGCAGGGACUCGUCUCCAGAGAGAGAAGCAUGAGAUUCGCAGGGCAGGACAGCGUCACUGGAUUUCCCGUAAAGGUGUGUGGCCCAAAAGACGGGAAGAGAAGGCCUCUGGGCCUGCUGGUCUGCACUGACAGCCCAGAGCGGGUCUGCACCCUCCACUUGCCUAACUGCCCUCUGCUGGUGGCCAGGAGGAGAGGGGAUGCCAACCCUACCCUCAGGACCUGCCUGGCUUGGCUCGUGAUGCCAAGGGCAAGACCAAGCUCUGGCCUCGGCCCCAGCGUCCCCCCAGCCCUGCCAGAGCUUCUCCAGGAGGCCGCGCAGAGGCUCUCCUCAUGAAGGAAGCCAUUGCACUGUGAAUACUGAACCUGCCUGCUGAACAGCCUGCCCCAUCCAUCCCAGAGAGCAAACACCUAUCCGUCCUCCCACCCCUCCAGCCUCUCCCCAGCUUCCUGCACUGAGUGCCCGAGCCGGCCUCGCCCAUCGACUGAGGGAGCCCCUGAGCCCCGACCUUCUGCUGACCCGGCUCUGAAUCCCUGGGGUGGAUCAGGGUGGGAGAACUGCCCGGGCCACCAGCCAGAGCUGGUCUUCUGGCUGCGUUGUUCGCCCAGGUUUCUGCAUCUUGCACUUUGACAUUCCCGAGAGGGAAGUGACUAGUGGGAGGGAGAAAAGGAGGGCAGGGACAGACACAGAGAGAGGCUGCAGGGUGAGCUCUGACGGAAAAUAGGUCUUUGAAGUUAAGGGCAUGCCCCUGAGGUGGGGGAAAGGGUCUGCACCCCUGACCCCCCAGCCUGCCCUCUUGCCCUGUACCAGGCCCCUGCCCCAACCACAGCCUCAAGGCUGCUGCUGGCUGGCACCUGGGGUGAGUGGUUGUCCCUGGUAGGAGCCUGGGAGGCAGUGACACCCUCUAGCUCUCAUCCCACCCCUCGCUAGCACCAUCUCUCUGACCAGGCAAGCCAGGGUGGGAGAGGGACUUGGAGAAUCCAGGCGUCUGCUUCCAAGUCUGCCUGAGGGCCUCAGCUUCCUGGGUCAGCCCAUGGCUGUGGCUCUGAGAGUUGGGCAGCAGGUGACAGGGCUGUUGAUUACCCUCGAUCCCUUUGUGCUACUGUGUCCCUCCUCUCCUGCCGCCCUGGGCCCUCCACUGAGAGACCCUGCCCUACUUGGCCACUGGACUGGGGCCUAGGAGCUUCCCUUCCUGCCCUUAAAAGUGAGGGUCCGCUGGUCCCUGCCUCCCCUGUCCUGUUGCUGUCAGCUGAGGGAAGGGCAGUGGAGAACUUUCCCCUUGGGGUCCCUUUUCCUAGUCACAGACUCUAUAUUUGAUACUAAAAGAUAUAUAUUUAAAAGUGGAAGGAAAAAAAACCCACAGAAAAAGCAUUCCUCCCUCACUCCCCACCCCUUAAACGUAUGGUAUUUUAAAGGUCAAGAAAGCAAAUCCAAUCCAUCACAGAAACUCUUUGUGGGCUCUUGGUGACACAGGAGUGGGAGGGGCCCCAGAGCCCCCUCUGGGUGGCUCCCCAGCUACCUGAACAGGAGCCCUUCUUUUCUCUGAGAAAACCGAGAGGGAACAUCGGCUCACACACUGUGAGAUUUUGUUUUUAUACUUGGAAGUGGUGAAUUAUUUUAUAUGAAGUCAUUUAAAUAUCUAUUUAAAAAAUAGGAAGCUGCUUAUAUAUUUAAUAAUAAAAGAAGUGCACAAGC